UCUGGGAAUGAGAUAAUAAAUGUCU
rnacentral:piRNA from 1 species